CAGCUGUAGGACGGCGUGCGUCUGCGCACCAGCUGGUUUUUCUCGCGGUUUCGCGCACGGCCCCAGGGCUGACAGAUCAUCCUUCCGUGGUAGAUUUUACAUCUUCAGGCCGGGCGCAGUGGCUCACGUCUGUAAUCCCAGCAAUUUGGAGGCCGAGGUGGGCGGAUUACCUGAGGUCAGGAGUUGGAGACCAUCCUGGCCAACAUGGUGAAACCCCGUCUCUACUAAAAAUACAAAAAAAUUACCCGGGCGUGGUGGCGCAUGCUUGUAAUCCCAGCUACUCGGGAUGCUGAGGUAGGAGAAUCGCUUGAAUCCAAGGCGGGGUGGAGGUUGCGUUGAGACGAGAUCGCGCCAUUGCACUCCAUCCUGGCGACAGAGCGAGAGUCCGUCUCAAAA